rnacentral:rRNA from 1 species
GACGAACGCUGGCGGCGUGCUUAACACAUGCAAGUCGAACGGAAAGGCCCUGCUUUUGUGGGGUGCUCGAGUGGCGAACGGGUGAGUAACACGUGAGUAACCUGCCCUUGACUUUGGGAUAACUUCAGGAAACUGGGGCUAAUACCGGAUAGGAGCUCCUGCUGCAUGGUGGGGGUGGGAAAUUUUCAGCGGGUGGGGAUGGACUCGCGGCUUAUCAGCUUGUUGGUGGGGUAGUGGCUUACCAAGGCUUUGACGGGUAGCCGGCCUGAGAGGGUGACCGGCCACAUUGGGACUGAGAUACGGCCCAGACUCCUACGGGAGGCAGCAGUGGGGAAUAUUGCACAAUGGGCGGAAGCCUGAUGCAGCAACGCCGCGUGCGGGAUGACGGCCUUCGGGUUGUAAACCGCUUUCGCCUGUGACGAAGCGUGAGUGACGGUAAUGGGUAAAGAAGCACCGGCUAACUACGUG